rnacentral:rRNA from 1 species
UACGAAGGGGGCUAGCGUUGUUCGGAAUUACUGGGCGUAAAGCGCGCGUAGGCGGUGAUCUUUGUCAGAGGUGAAAUCCCGAGGCUCAACUUCGGAAUUGCCUUUGAAACGGGAUCGCUUGAGUCCGAGAGAGGAUGGCGGAAUUCCUAGUGUAGAGGUGAAAUUCGUAGAUAUUAGGAAGAACACCGGUGGCGAAGGCGGCCAUCUGGCUCGGUACUGACGCUCAGGCGCGAAAGCGUGGGGAGCA